UACGGAGGUUGCAAGCGUUAUCCGGAUUUAUUGGGUUUAAAGGGUGCGUAGGCGGAAUGGUAAGUCAGUGGUGAAAUCCUGUAGCUUAACUACAGAACUGCCAUUGAUACUGUCAUUCUUGAGUAUAGUUGAGGUAGGCGGAAUGUGUAAUGUAGCGGUGAAAUGCUUAGAUAUUACACAGAACUCCAAUUGCGUAGGCAGCUUACUAAACUAAAACUGACGCUGAGGCACGAAAGCGUGGGGAGCAAACAGG
rnacentral:rRNA from 1 species